AUACGGAGGGUGCAAGCGUUAUCCGGAAUCAUUGGGUUUAAAGGGUCCGUAGGCGGACUAUUAAGUCAGAGGUGAAAUCCCACAGCUCAACUGUGGAACUGCCUUUGAUACUGGUAGUCUUGAGUUAUAUGGAAGUAGAUAGAAUGUGUAGUGUAGCGGUGAAACGCAUAGAUAUCACACAGAAUACCGAUUGCGAAGGCAGUCUACUACGUAUAUACUGACGCUAAGGGACGAAAGCGUGGGGAGCGAACAGGAUUAGAAACCCUAGUAGUCC
rnacentral:rRNA from 1 species